rnacentral:lncRNA from 1 species
AAAAGUUUUCUAGCAACAAAAACUUCUCAUCAAAAGUCAAAACCUUGGAUAAACGGAAGUCAACAGCAAGCUCACCAGAAGCGAAAUUAAUCAAGCAGUGAACUUUCUUCAAAAUGCUUCCUUUAAUAUUCUUAUUUGCAUUCGAUAACCUUUACUCGACUGAAACAUUAGACCGCGAGCUUCUUCUCCUAGGAUGAUUUGCCGGCAACGCCAUGUUAUCAUGGGGCCCACCACAAGCUUUCACCUUUAGUUCGUCAAGAACACGAAUUGCUUCUUUGAGUUCGUCUUUUACACUCGGUCCAUGCCCUCUCCAACCAUCGAUCGCCUUUUCCUGAAAGUUGAUCGCAAUUUCAUACCUCCCCAUUGCGCUAUACGCUUUUGAAAGAUUUUGACACGCUUCGAUUGAGUCAACAUGAUUCG